rfam:Halomonas desiderata SP1 contig_10, whole genome shotgun sequence.
UCCCCCGCGAGGGGGAAUCUGAAGGAAGCCCGAGGCAAAACGCUGGCCUGACGAACAGGAAGCGGAUACGAGGCGUCAUGGU